rnacentral:rRNA from 1 species
CCUACGGGUGGCAGCAGUGGGGGAUAUUGGACAAUGGGGGAAACCCUGAUCCAGCGACGCCGCGUGAGUGAAGAAGUAUUUCGGUAUGUAAAGCUCUAUCAGCAGGGAAGAAAGAAAUGACGGUACCUGAGUAAGAAGCCCCGGCUAACUACGUGCCAGCAGCCGCGGUAAGACGUAGGGGGCAAGCGUUAUCCGGAAUUACUGGGUGUGAAGGGAGCGUAGACGGUAAUGCAAGUCUGAAGUGAAAGGCAGGGGCUUAACCCCUGAACUGCGUUGGAAACUGCCAUGCUAGAGUGCUGGAGAGGUAAGGGGAAUUCCUAGUGUAGCGGUGAAAUGCGUAGAUAUUAGGAGGAACACCAGUGGCGAAGGCGGCUUACUGGACAGUAACUGACGUUGAGGCUCGAAAGCGUGGGGAGCAAACAGGAUUAGAUACCCGGGUAGUC